AUCUAGGGUCAUGCCACCCCGAGAUAUCGUCUGAUCUCGGAAGCUAAGCAGGAUCAGGCCUGCUUAGUACUUGCAUGGGAGACAACAUUGGAAUACUAGGUGCCGUAGUCA
rnacentral:rRNA from 1 species